rnacentral:misc_RNA from 1 species
AAGUCGUAACAAGGUAACCGUAGGUGAACCUGCGGUUGGAUCAUUAAAAAAUUUAUAUUUUUAAAGGAAAGAAUAGAAGGAGGGAAAAAUCUUCCCUUUUUUUAUUCUUUUUUUUAAAAGACACAAUUUGUGAAUUUGAUAACCGUUUUACUUGGUGGGUGACAGUGGGCAAAAUACUUUGUCCUCUGAUUUUUUCUUUUUUCUUUCUUUUUUGGUGAGUAAAAUUACCGAAAAGAAAGAAAAAAGGGAGAGCCCACCAGUAUUUUUAAUAAAAAAAGUUUAGAGAAAUUUUAAAACAAAAAAAAAAGUUAUUUUAUUUUUAUGAAUAAAAAAACAACUUUUGACAACGGAUCUCUAGGCUCUC